ACAGGAGAGACCAGUGUGUGAAAUAACUUCUUUCUUUGUGUCUUACAUUUAGAAAACCUCUCCCUGCCUCACUUCUGCUAAGCCCUGUUGGAGAACCAGAGCAGAGAUGACACAAUCCCAGUGGAGCACUUACCGAUGGUUGGCACCAAGAGAACAUCUGGUGUGGGCAGUGGCUGGAGCUCAGCAUCCUAGCAAGGAGCAGAAUGACGUCAGAGGCCCUGAGUCAUGGACAGCCACGUUAGGCCAAACC
rnacentral:lncRNA from 1 species